GACGAACGCUGGCGGCGUGCUUAACACAUGCAAGUCGAACGGUGAACCGGGCUUCGGCCCGGGGGAUCAGUGGCGAACGGGUGCGUAACACGUGGGCAACCUGCCUCAGACACUGGGAUAACCCCGGGAAACCGGGGCUAAUACCGGAUACUCCGACCGGACUGCAUGAUCCGGCCGGGAAAGCUCCGACGGUCUGAGAUGGGCCCGCGGCCUAUCAGCUUGUUGGUGGGGUAACGCCCACCAAGGCGACGACGGGAGCUGGUCUGAGAGGACGACCAGCCACACUGGAACUGAGACACGGUCCAGACUCCUACGGGAGGCAGCAGUGGGGAAUCUUGCGCAAUGGGCGAAAGCCUGACGCAGCGACGCCGC
rnacentral:rRNA from 1 species